GAUGAACGCUGGCGGCGUGCCUAAUACAUGCAAGUCGAGCGAACGGACGAGAAGCUUGCUUCUCUGAUGUUAGCGGCGGACGGGUGAGUAACACGUGGAUAACCUACCUAUAAGACUGGGAUAACUUCGGGAAACCGGAGCUAAUACCGGAUAAUAUUUUGAACCGCAUGGUUCAAAGGUGAAAGACGGUCUUGCUGUCACUUAUAGAUGGAUCCGCGCUGCAUUAGCUAGUUGGUAAGGUAACGGCUUACCAAGGCAACGAUGCAUAGCCGACCUGAGAGGGUGAUCGGCCACACUGGAGCUGAGACACGGUCCAGACUCCUACGGGAGGCAGCAGUAGGGAAUCUUCCGCAAUGGGCGAAAGCCUGACGGAGCAACGCCGCGUGAGUGAUGAAGGUCUUCGGAUCGUAAAACUCUGUUAUUAGGGAAGAACAGAUGUGUAAGUAACUGUGCACAUCUUGACGGUACCUAAUCAGAAAGCCACGGCUAACUACGUG
rnacentral:rRNA from 1 species